GGUGUGCAAACAAAAGGGCGGGUCAGAGUAAAAAAAAAAAAAAAUAAAAAAAAAAAAAAAGUCAAGAAUCGUAAUCUCAUGCAUGCGUUGAGCCUUUGCAAGUCUUUUCAGUUAACAGCUUUGGUUGGCAUCGGUGACAUUAAAGCGAAGAUCACUGACAGCUCUUGAAACCAAGACCGACAAUACAUUAAAAAA